CAAUUCCAGCAACACAAGCCAGACCAGAACUACAGCUUCAGAGUGACAGAGUCUCGAUGUGAAUCCAGGUUUGCCACAGAUCCCUGUUCCUUCCACUAAACCUCAGCGCACACACGGACACACAUACACAUACAUGGUCACACCACACACAUAUACAUGGACACACAGACACACAUACAUGGUCACACCACACACAUACAUACAUGGACACACCACACAUAUACACAUACAUGGUUACACCACACAUAUACAUACAUGGACACACCACACACACACAUACAUGGACCCCCCUACACACAUACAUACAUGGGCACAACACACAUACACACAUAUACAUGGACACACCACACACAUAUAUACAUGGACCCCACACACACACAUAUACACGAACACAACACAUAUACAUACACAUACAUAUACAUACAUGGACACACCACACAGACAUACAUGGACAUAUGAAACACACACAUACACAACACACACAAACAUACAUGGACACACCAAACACACAUACACCCACACACACACACUAACAGGCACAUACCAACGCCACACCCCCCACAAACAUAAAAACACAAUAAUUCUCCAGUGAGACCAAUAAACACACAGGCUCAGGAAGGGCAGGGUAGCUGGGCUAGGCAGGAGGUCAGAAAGAGUGGCAGCCACACCCCACUAGCCAGUUUGUUUAUCUGAUUUGUGGUUGGUUUGAGUAAGAGUCUUAAAGUGUUUGUAGACAGGUGGGAAAAUUGGUACCCUGAGACCUCCUCCAGGGGAGCUAGAAGCUGCCAGCUGACACCCCCCCCAACACACACACAUACACACUCACACACACACAUACACACACACACUCACACACACACACACACACACACUCACACACACACACACACACACUCACACACACUCACACACACACUCACACACACACACCAUGCUGACUACAGCCAAGAAAGCCUUGGGACUCUGCCAAGUCUCGGCCUCCCUCCCACUCCCCACUCUUUACCAAGCUCUCCCCACCAGCUUUGACCAUGGUCCCCAUAAUCAUCCUGUUCCAAGAAUUUAUAGAGUGGGAAAAAAGGCUCUAAUUCUACACAGGA
rnacentral:lncRNA from 1 species